CCUGCCCUUAAGUGGGGGAUAACAUUUGGAAACAGAUGCUAAUACCGCAUAGAUCCAAGAACCGCCUGGUUCUUGGCUGAAAGAUGGCGUAAGCUAUCGCUUUUGGAUGGACCCGCGGCGUAUUAGCUAGUUGGUGAGGUAAUGGCUCACCAAGGCGAUGAUACGUAGCCGAACUGAGAGGUUGAUCGGCCACAUUGGGACUGAGACACGGCCCAAACUCCUACGGGAGGCAGCAGUAGGGAAUCUUCCACAAUGGACGCAAGUCUGAUGGAGCAACGCCGCGUGAGUGAAGAAGGCUUUCGGGUCGUAAAACUCUGUUGUUGGAGAAGAAUGGUCGGCAGAGUAACUGUUGUCGGCGUGACGGUAUCCAACCAGAAAGCCACGGCUAACUACGUGCCAGCAGCCGCGGUAAUACGUAGGUGGCAAGCGUUAUCCGGAUUUAUUGGGCGUAAAGCGAGCGCAGGCGGUUUUUUAAGUCUGAUGUGAAAGCCCUCGGCUUAACCGAGGAAGCGCAUCGGAAACUGGGAAACUUGAGUGCAGAAGAGGACAGUGGAACUCCAUGUGUAGCGGUGAAAUGCGUAGAUAUAU
rnacentral:rRNA from 1 species